UGAGUACGAGAUGCUACGGCAUCGAAGCAGUCUAUGUCAUACUUCCAAGAAAAGCUUGCACUGUCAUAAACAAAGAAUGCCUGUACCAUAACCGACACAGGUGGGUAGGUAGAGUAUACUAAGGGGCGCGAGAUAACUCUCUCUAAGGAACUCGGCAAAAUGACUCCGUAACUUCGGGAGAAGGAGUGCCUUAUUUCUAAGGUUGCAAUAACAAGAUCCAAGCAACUGUUUACCAAAAACACAGGUCUCCGCUAAGUCGUAAGACGAUGUAUGGGGGCUGACGCCUGCCCAGUGCCAGAAGGUUAAAGAAGUUGGUUAGCAUUAGCGAAGCUGAUAACUGAAGCCCUGGUGAACGGCGGCCGUAACGAUAACGGUCCUAAGGUAGCGAAAUUCCUUGUCGGGUAAGUUCCGACCCGCACGAAAGGCGUAAUGAUUUGGAUACUGUCUCGGAGAGGGGCUCGGUGAAAUAGACUUGUCUGUGAAGAUGCGGACUACCUGCACCUGGACAGAAAGACCCUAUGAAGCUUUACUGUAACUUGAGAUUGAAAUUGGACUUUAUUUGCGCAGUAUAGGUGGGAGGCGUUGAGAAUAAUCUUGCGGGAUUGUUGGAGCCAUCAGUGAGAUACCACUCUUGUAAUGUUAGAUUUCUAACUUUGUAUCAUUAUCUGGUCAAAGAACAGUUUCAGGCGGGCAGUUUGACUGGGGCGGUCGCCUCCCAAAGGGUAACGGAGGCGCACAAAGGUUUCCUCUGAACGGGUAGAAAUCGUAUCUAGAGUGUAAAGGCAUAAGGAAGCUUGACUGUGAGACCUACAAGUCGAGCAGGGACGAAAGUCGGUCUUAGUGAUCUGACGGUGCUGAGUGGAAAGGCCGUCACUCAACGGAUAAAAGUUACUCUAAGGAUAACAGGCUGAUCUCCCCCAAGAGUUCACAUCGACGGGGAGGUUUGGCACCUCGAUGUCGGCUCAUCGCAUCCUGGGGCGGUAGUCCGUCCCAAGGGUUGGGCUGUUCGCCCAUGAAAGCGGUACGCGAGCUGGGUUCAGAACGUCGUGAGACAGUUCGGUCCAUAUCCGGUGUAGGCGUUAGAAUAUUGAGAGGAGCCUUCUCUAGUACGAGAGGACCGAGAAGGACAUACCUCUGGUGUACCAGUUAUCGUGCCAACGGUAAACGCUGGGUAGCUAUGUAUGGAGUGGAUAACCGCUGAAAGCAUCUAAGUGGGAAGCCCACCUCAAGAUAAGUAUUCUCAGC
rnacentral:rRNA from 1 species